rnacentral:rRNA from 1 species
AGGACGAACGCUGGCGGCGUGCUUAACACAUGCAAGUCGAACGGUGAACCGGGCUUCGGCCCGGGGAUCAGUGGCGAACGGGUGCGUAACACGUGGGCAACCUGCCCCAGACACUGGGAUAACUCCGGGAAACCGGGGCUAAUACCGGAUACUCAGGUCGAACCUCAUGGUUCGAUCGGGAAAGCUCCGACGGUCUGGGAUGGGCCCGCGGCCUAUCAGCUUGUUGGCGAGGUAACGGCUCACCAAGGCGACGACGGGUAGCCGGCCUGAGAGGGCGACCGGCCACGACUGGGACUGAGACACGGCCCAGACUCCUACGGGAGGCAGCAGUGGGGAAUAUUGCGCAAUGGGCGGAAGCCUGACGCAGCGACGCCGCGUGGGGGAUGACGGCCUUCGGGUUGUAAACCUCUUUCGUCAUCGACGAAGCCCUUCGGGUGACGGUAGGUGGAGGAAGAAGCACCGGCCAACUACGUGCCAGCAGCCGC